AGUGAACGCUGGCGGUAGGCCUAACACAUGCAAGUCGAACGGCAGCACAGUAAGAGCUUGCUCUUACGGGUGGCGAGUGGCGGACGGGUGAGGAAUACAUCGGAAUCUACUUUUUCGUGGGGGAUAACGGAGGGAAACUUCCGCUAAUACCUCAUACGACCUACGGGUGAAAGCAGGGGAUCUUCGGACCUUGCGCGAUUGAAUGAGCCGAUGUCGGAUUAGCUAGUUGGCGGGGUAAAGGCCCACCAAGGCGACGAUCCGUAGCUGGUCUGAGAGGAUGAUCAGCCACACUGGAACUGAGACACGGUCCAGACUCCUACGGGAGGCAGCAGUGGGGAAUAUUGGACAAUGGGCGCAAGCCUGAUCCAGCCAUACCGCGUGGGUGAAGAAGGCCUUCGGGUUGUAAAGCCCUUUUGUUGGGAAAGAAAAGCAGCAGGUUAAUACCCCGCUGUUCUGACGGUACCCAAAGAAUAAGCACCGGCUAACUUCGUG
rnacentral:rRNA from 1 species